rnacentral:rRNA from 1 species
GACGAACGCUGGCGGCGUGCUUAACACAUGCAAGUCGAACGGAAAGGCCCUGCUUUUGUGGGGUGCUCGAGUGGCGAACGGGUGAGUAACACGUGAGUAACCUGCCCUUGACUUUGGGAUAACUUCAGGAAACUGGGGCUAAUACCGGAUAGGAGCUCCUGCUGCAUGGCGGGGGUUGGAAAGUUUCGGCGGUUGGGGAUGGACUCGCGGCUUAUCAGCUUGUUGGUGGGGUAGUGGCUUACCAAGGCUUUGACGGGUAGCCGGCCUGAGAGGGUGACCGGCCACAUUGGGACUGAGAUACGGCCCAGACUCCUACGGGAGGCAGCAGUGGGGAAUAUUGCACAAUGGGCGGAAGCCUGAUGCAGCAACGCCGCGUGCGGGAUGACGGCCUUCGGGUUGUAAACCGCUUUCGCCUGUGACGAAGCGUGAGUGACGGUAAUGGGUAAAGAAACACCGGCUAACUACGU